rnacentral:misc_RNA from 1 species
CCGUCUCUGUUUUUCUUUUCUUUCUCCAAGAUUUCUGGUCUAAUUCUCGGGACAUCACCUCUCCUAACUUUGAUAAGUGCCUUUCCGUCAAGAUUGGGAUCCACCCUUCCAUUUGAGAGUGGCAGCUUCUUUUUUCCACAUCUGAAAAUAGCAACAGCGCACAUACAAUCCUGUAAACAGGAUUGCCUACAGCCAUCUUCAGUAAAAGGCUGCAAGAGGGCAUAAUCCGACGUUGGCCAAUCAGUAUUUAGAAGCACUUCAAAACCAUAUAAAUCUUCCACCGGACCCAUCUCACUUUCUUCACAUCUCUGUGUGAAGUUUGCUUUGCAACCGCCAUACUGAUCAUUUGGAUCAAANCCGCCAUACUGAUCAUUUGGAUCAAAUAAAGAAUAUCCGCUCGGGCAUUCACAGGUCGGUCUCUGAUCUUGGACCAGUGUGCAGACACUAUUGAACCCACAGACGCCACUACCAGCGGUUACCCUACUGUUUUGGCAAAUAUUACUCGGUUCAGUCAAAAUAGGAGUCCACCUUUCGUUGCCAGUUGAUGUUU